rnacentral:rRNA from 1 species
UCGAGGGGUAUAUGUCUUCGGAUAUAGAGACCGGCGCACGGGUGCGUAACGCGUAUGCAAUCUGCCUUUCACAGAGGGAUAGCCCAGAGAAAUUUGGAUUAAUACCUCAUAGCAUUAUAGGAUGGCAUCAUUUUAUAAUUAAAGUCACAACGGUGAAAGAUGAGCAUGCGUCCCAUUAGCUWGUUGGUAAGGUAACGGCUUACCAAGGCAACGAUGGGUAGGGGUCCUGAGAGGGAGAUCCCCCACACUGGUACUGAGACACGGACCAGACUCCUACGGGAGGCAGCAGUGAGGAAUAUUGGUCAAUGGGCGCAAGCCUGAACCAGCCAUGCCGCGUGCAGGAUGACGGUCCUAUGGAUUGUAAACUGCUUUUGCACAGGAAGAAACAGCUCUACGUGUAGAGUCUUGACGGUACUGUGAGAAUAAGGAUCGGCUAACUCCGUGCCAGCAGCCGCGGUAAUACGGAGGAUCCAAGCGUUAUCCGGAAUCAUUGGGUUUAAAGGGUCCGUAGGCGGUCUUGUAAGUCAGUGGUGAAAGCCCAUCGCUCAACGGUGGAACGGCCAUUGAUACUGCUGGACUUGAAUUAUUAGGAAGUAACUAGAAUAUGUAGUGUAGCGGUGAAAUGCUUAGAGAUUACAUGGAAUACCAAUUGCGAAGGCAGGUUACUACUAAUGGAUUGACGCUGAUGGACGAAAGCGUGGGUAGCGAACAGGAUUAGAUACCCUGGUAGUCCACGCCGUAAACGAUGGAUACUAGCUGUUGGAAGCAAUUUCAGUGGCUAAGCGAAAGUGAUAAGUAUCCCACCUGGGGAGUACGUUCGCAAGAAUGAAACUCAAAGGAAUUGACGGGGGCCCGCACAAGCGGUGGAGCAUGUGGUUUAAUUCGAUGAUACGCGAGGAACCUUACCAAGGCUUAAAUGCAGACUGACCGAUUUGGAAACAGAUCUUUCGCAAGACAGUUUACAAGGUGCUGCAUGGUUGUCGUCAGCUCGUGCCGUGAGGUGUCAGGUUAA